rnacentral:rRNA from 1 species
CUACGGGUUGCUGCAGUGUGGAAUAUUGCACAAUGGGGGAAACCCUGAUGCAGCAACGCCGCGUGGAGGAUGACGCAUUUCGGUGUGUAAACUCCUUUUAUAUAGGAAGAUAAUGACGGUACUAUAUGAAUAAGCACCGACUAACUCCGUGCCAGCAGCCGCGGUAAUACGGAGGGUGCAAGCGUUACUCGGAAUCACUGGGCGUAAAGCGCGCGCAGGCGGCCUUUUAAGUUGGAUGUGAAAGCCUAUGGCUUAACCAUAGAACUGCAUCCAAAACUAUCAGGCUAGAGUCUGGGAGGGGAAGAUGGAAUUAGUUGUGUAGGGGUAAAAUCCGUAGAGAUAACUAGGAAUACCAAAAGCGAAGGCGAUCUUCUGGAACAGUACUGACGCUGAGGCGCGAAAGCGUGGGGAGCAAACAGGAUUAGAUACCCCCGUAGUC